GCUAUCGACAGGCUUAACACAUGCAAGUCGAGGGGCAGCACAGGUAGCAAUACCGGGUGGCGACCGGCGCACGGGUGAGUAACGCGUAUGCAACUUACCUAUCAGAGGGGGAUAACCCGGCGAAAGUCGGACUAAUACCGCAUGAAGCAGGGGCCCCGCAUGGGGAUAUUUGCUAAAGAUUCAUCGCUGAUAGAUAGGCAUGCGUUCCAUUAGGCAGUUGGCGGGGUAACGGCCCACCAAACCGACGAUGGAUAGGGGUUCUGAGAGGAAGGUCCCCCACAUUGGUACUGAGACACGGACCAAACUCCUACGGGAGGCAGCAGUGAGGAAUAUUGGUCAAUGGCCGAGAGGCUGAACCAGCCAAGUCGCGUGAGGGAUGAAGGUUCUAUGGAUCGUAAACCUCUUUUAUAAGGGAAUAAAGUGCGGGACGUGUCCCGUUUUGUAUGUACCUUAUGAAUAAGGAUCGGCUAACUCCGUGCCAGCAGCCGCGGUAAUACGGAGGAUCCGAGCGUUAUCCGGAUUUAUUGGGUUUAAAGGGUGCGUAGGCGGCCUUUUAAGUCAGCGGUGAAAGUCUGUGGCUCAACCAUAGAAUUGCCGUUGAAACUGGGAGGCUUGAGUAUGUUUGAGGCAGGCGGAAUGCGUGGUGUAGCGGUGAAAUGCAUAGAUAUCACGCAGAACCCCGAUUGCGAAGGCAGCCUGCCAAGCCAUUACUGACGCUGAUGCACGAAAGCGUGGGGAUCAAACAGGAUUAGAUACCCUGGUAGUCCACGCAGUAAACGAUGAUCACUAGCUGUUUGCGAUACACUGUAAGCGGCACAGCGAAAGCGUUAAGUGAUCCACCUGGGGAGUACGCCGGCAACGGUGAAACUCAAAGGAAUUGACGGGGGCCCGCACAAGCGGAGGAACAUGUGGUUUAAUUCGAUGAUACGCGAGGAACCUUACCCGGGUUUGAACGCAUUCGGACCGAGGUGGAAACACCUUUUCUAGCAAUAGCCGUUUGCGAGGUGCUGCAUGGUUGUCGUCAGCUCGUGCCGUGAGGUGUCGGCUUAAGUGCCAUAACGAGCGCAACCCUUGCCACUAGUUACUAACAGGUAAAGCUGAGGACUCUGGUGGGACUGCCAGCGUAAGCUGCGAGGAAGGCGGGGAUGACGUCAAAUCAGCACGGCCCUUACAUCCGGGGCGACACACGUGUUACAAUGGCGUGGACAAAGGGAAGCCACCUGGCGACAGGGAGCGAAUCCCCAAACCACGUCUCAGUUCGGAUCGGAGUCUGCAACCCGACUCCGUGAAGCUGGAUUCGCUAGUAAUCGCGCAUCAGCCAUGGCGCGGUGAAUACGUUCCCGGGCCUUGUACACACCGCCCGUCAAGCCAUGGGAGCCGGGGGUACCUGAAGUCCGUAACCGCGAGGAUCGGCCUAGGGUAAAACUGGUGACUGG
rnacentral:rRNA from 1 species